rnacentral:rRNA from 1 species
GACGAACGCUGGCGGCGUGCCUAAUACAUGCAAGUAGAACGCUGAAGGAGGAGCUUGCUUCUCUGGAUGAGUUGCGAACGGGUGAGUAACGCGUAGGUAACCUGCCUGGUAGCGGGGGAUAACUAUUGGAAACGAUAGCUAAUACCGCAUAAGAGUAGAUGUUGCAUGACAUUUGCUUAAAAGGUGCAAUUGCAUCACUACCAGAUGGCCCUGCGUUGUAUUAGCUAGUUGGUGAGGUAACGGCUCACCAAGGCGACGAUACAUAGCCGACCUGAGAGGGUGAUCGGCCACACUGGGACUGAGACACGGCCCAGACUCCUACGGGAGGCAGCAGUAGGGAAUCUUCGGCAAUGGACGGAAGUCUGACCGAGCAACGCCGCGUGAGUGAAGAAGGUUUUCGGAUCGUAAAGCUCUGUUGUAAGAGAAGAACGAGUGUGAGAGUGGAAAGUUCACACUGUGACGGUAUCUUACCAGAAAGGGACGGCUAACUACGUG